AUUGAACGCUGGCGGCAGGCCUAACACAUGCAAGUCGAACGAGUGGCGGACGGGUGAGUAAUGUCUGGGAACCUGCCUGAUGGAGGGGGAUAACAACUGGAAACGGUAGCUAAUACCGCAUACCAUCGGAUGUGCCCAGAUGGGAUUAGCUAGUAGGUGGGGUAACGGAUCACCUAGGCAACGAUCCCUAGCUGGUCUGUGAGGAGGACCAGCCACACUGGAACUGAGACACGGCCCAGACUCCUACGCGAGGCAGCAGAGGGGAAUAUUGCACUAGGGGCGCAAGCCUGAUGCAGCCAAGCCGCGUGUAUGAAGAAGGCCUGCGGGUUUUAAAGUACUUUUAGCGGGGAGGCGUUACCAGCAGAAUAAGCACCGGCUAACUCCGUGCCAGCAGCCGCGGUAAUUC
rnacentral:rRNA from 1 species